rnacentral:rRNA from 1 species
UGGGGAAUUUUGGACAAUGGACGCAAGUCUGAUCCAGCCAUGCCGCGUGCGGGAAGAAGGCCUUCGGGUUGUAAACCGCUUUUGUCAGGGAAGAAACGAGUUUCUCUAAUACAGAGACUUAAUGACGGUACCUGAAGAAUAAGCACCGGCUAACUACGUGCCAGCAGCCGCGGUAAUACGUAGGGUGCGAGCGUUAAUCGGAAUUACUGGGCGUAAAGCGUGCGCAGGCGGCUUUGCAAGACAGAUGUGAAAUCCCCGGGCUCAACCUGGGAACUGCAUUUGUGACUGCAUGGCUAGAGUACGGUAGAGGGGGAUGGAAUUCCGCGUGUAGCAGUGAAAUGCGUAGAUAUGCGGAGGAACACCGAUGGCGAAGGCAAUCCCCUGGACCUGUACUGACGCUCAUGCACGAAAGCGUGGGGAGCAAACA